rnacentral:tRNA from 1 species
UGGGGGGUGGUGUAAUUGGCAGCCCGCGGGCCUUUGGAGCCCUGAGGUCCCGGUUCAAGUCCGGGCCCCCCAA